rnacentral:rRNA from 1 species
AUUGAACGCUGGCGGCAAGCCUAACACAUGCAAGUCGAACGAGGGGCAGACGGUUGAGUAAUGUCUGGAAAACUGCCUGAUGGAGGGGGAUAAAUACUGGAAACGGUAGCUAAUACCGCAUACCAUCGGAUGUGCCCAUAUGGGAUUAGCUAGUAGGUGGGGUAAAGGCACCACUAGGCGACGAUCCCUAGCUGGUCUGAGAGGAGGACCAGCCACACUGGGACGGAGACACGGUCCAGACUCUUACGGGAGGCCGCAGUGGGGAAUAUUGCACAAUGGGCGCAAGCCUGAUGCAGCCAUGCCGCGUGUAUGAAGAAGGCCUUCGGGUUGUAAAGUACUUUCAGCGGGGAGGCGUUACCCGCAGAAGAAGCACCGGCUAACUCCGUGCCAGCAGCCGCGGUAAUAC